GCCGGGUGUGGUGGUGCGCACCUGUAAUCCCAGUUACUCGGGAGGCUGAGGCAGGAGAAUUGCUUGAUCCCAGGAAGUGGAGGCUACAGUGAGCCGAGAUUACGCCACUGCACUCCAGCCUGGGUGACAGAGCAAGACUCUGUUUCAA
ensembl:misc_RNA Metazoa_SRP Metazoan signal recognition particle RNA